rnacentral:lncRNA from 1 species
CUUUGGUAGAUUUUUCUCCAUUUCUUUAUUUCUCCUUAUGUGUGUCACUGCAUGUGAGAUGAGUUAGUUUCCUUCCUUCCUUCCUUCCUUCCUUCCUUCCUUCCUUCCUUCCUUCCUUCCUUCCUUCCUUCCUUUUCCUUCCUUCCACUCUUGUUGCCUAGGCUGAAGUGCAAUGGCACAAUCACAGCUCAUCGCAACCUCCGCCUCCCAGGUUGAAGCGAUUCUUCUCAGACUCCCAAGUAGCUGGAAUUAUAGGCAUGCACUACCACACCUGGCUAAUUUUUUGUAUUUUUAGUAGAGACAGGGUUUCUCCAUGUUGAUCAGGCUGGUUUCAACUCCUGACCUCUGGUGUUCUGCCCAUCUUGGCCUCCCAAAGUGUUGGGAUUACAGGCAUUAGCCUCUGUACCCAACCUUCACUGUGUUUUUGUAGUGGCUGGUUACAGUCUUUCCUUUCUAUAUUUAGUGCUUCCUUCAAAAGGUCUUGUAAGGCAUAUCUGGUGGUAAUGAAUUCCUUCAGCAUUUACUUAUUUGAAAAGAAUCUUAUUUCUCCUUUGUUUAUGAAGCUUAGUUUUGCUGGAUAUGAAAUUCUGAGUUGAAAUUUUUUAAGAAUGUUGAAUAUUGGUUCCCAAUCUCUUCUGACUUUUAGAGUUUCUGCUGAAAGGUCAGCUGUUAGUCUGAUGAACUUCCCUUUGUAGGUAACAUGGCCUUUCUCUCCGGCUGCCCUUAGCAUACUUUUUUUCACUUCAGUCUUGGAGAAUCUGAUGAUUAUGUGUCUUAGGAAUGAUCUUCUUCUGGAGUAUCCUACUAGGGUUCUCUACAUUUUCUGAAUUUGAAUGUUGGUCUUUCUAUUUAGGUUGGGGAAGUUCUCAUGGAUGAUAGCCUGAAAUAUGUUUUUCAAAUUGGUUCCAUUCUCCCCAUCUCUUUUGGGUACACCAAUUAGUCAUAGAUCUGGUCUCUUUACACAAUUCCAUAUUUCUCAGUGGUUUUGUUCAUUCCUUUUCACUACUUUUUCUCUAUGUUUAAGUCUUUAAUCCAUCUGGAGUUAAUUUUAGUGUAAGGUGUCAGGAAGGGAUCCAGUUUCUGCUUUCUGCACAUGGCUAGCCAGUUUUCCCAACACCAUUUGUUAAACGUGGAAUCCUUGCCCCAUUAUUUGUUUUUGUCAGGUUUAUCAAAGAUUGUAUAGUUGUAUGUAUGUUGUGUUGCCUCCGGUGCCUCUGUUUUGUUCCAUUGGUCUAUAUCUCUGUUCUGGUACCAGUACCAUGCUGUUUUGAUUACUGUAGCCUUGUAGUAUA